UGUAGUGGUUGUAGUGUAGUGGUUGUAGUGUUGUGGUUGUAGUGUUGUGGUUGUAGUGUAGUGGUUGUAGUGUAGUGGUUGUAGUGUAGUGGUUGUAGUGUAGUGGUUGUAGUGUAUUGGUUGUAGUGUAGUGGUUGUAGUGUAGUGGUUGUAGUGUAGUGGUUGUAGUGUAGUGGUUGUAGUGUAGUGGUUGUAGUGUAGUGGUUGUCGUGUAUUGGUUGUAGUGUAGUGGUUGUAGUGUAGUGGUUGUAGUGUUGUGGUUGUAGUGUAUUGGUUGUAGUGUUGUGGUUGUAGUGUAUUGGUUGUAGUGUAGUGGUUGUAGUGUAGUGGUUGUAGUGUAUUGGUUGUAGUGUAGUGGUUGUAGUGUAUUGGUUGUAGUGUAGUGGUUGUAGUGGUUUGGUUGUAGUGUAGUGGUUGUAGUGUAUUGGUUGUAGUGUAGUGGUUGUAGUGUAGUGGUUGUAGUGUAUUGGUUGUAGUGUAGUGGUUGUAGUAUAGUGGCUGUAGUGUAUUGGUUGUAAUGUAUUGGUUGUAGUGUAUUGGUUGUAGUGUAGUGGUUGUAGUGUAGUGGUUGUGGUGUAGUGGUUGUGGUGUAGGUGUUGUAGUGUAGUGGUUGUAGUGUAGUGGUUGUAGUGUAGUGGUUGUAGUGUAGUGGUUGUAGUGUAGUGGUUGUAGUGUAGUGGUUGUAGUGUAGUGGUUGUGGUGGUUGUAGUGUAGUGGUUGUAGUGUAGUGGUUGUAGUGUAUUGGUUGUAGUGUAGUGGUUGUAGUGUAGUGGUUGUGGUGUAGGUGUUGUAGUGUAGUGGUUGUAGUGGUUGUAGUGUAGUGGUUGUAGUGGUUGUAGUGUAGUGGUUGUAGUGUAGUGGUUGUAGUGUAGUGGUUGUAGUGGUUGUAGUGUAGUGGUU
ensembl:lncRNA